rnacentral:rRNA from 1 species
UGGCUCAGAACGAACGCUGGCGGCAGGCUUAACACAUGCAAGUCGAACGCACCUUUCGGGGUGAGUGGCAGACGGGUGAGUAACGCGUGGGAACGUGCCCUUCAGUUCGGAAUAACCCAGGGAAACUUGGGCUAAUACCGGAUACGUGCGAGAGCAGAAAGAUUUAUCGCUGAAGGAUCGGCCCGCGUCUGAUUAGCUAGUUGGUGGGGUAAUGGCCCACCAAGGCGACGAUCAGUAGCUGGUCUGAGAGGAUGAUCAGCCACAUUGGGACUGAGACACGGCCCAAACUCCUACGGGAGGCAGCAGUGGGGAAUAUUGGACAAUGGGCGCAAGCCUGAUCCAGCCAUGCCGCGUGAGUGAUGAAGGCCUUAGGGUUGUAAAGCUCUUUCGUCCGGGACGAUAAUGACGGUACCGGAAGAAGAAGCCCCGGCUA